CUUGAAAGUCUCAGUUUUGCUUUAACUGCUUUUUGCUCAGCUCUAGUCUCUCGUGGAGUGCCACUAUGUGUAGCCUACUGUAGUGUACAGUCAGUUAGGUUAGAGUUUUGGUCCCAAAAACAUGUAGCUUCUGCUUCUUUGCCAAGAUCUGAGAGCGUUGUCACCCGUUCUUUUUUUUUCAGGAAAAAGAAUUUGUUGCUGAAUGUAAGGAGUCCUGGUGAUGAAACUGGUAAACUUUCAACGGUCUAAAUCCUGUUGAAACAUCGCCAUACCAAAAUUAGAUUGUCCAACAGUGGUCUGAUGGUUACCCGUCAACUUAUGAUGGACCACAACUCAGCUCGUUCGCGGCCGCGCUGUCCGUGAGUCUAAAUCUCAAAGGUGUGUGGUGUAUUGCAGUCUUUAGAUGAAGACUUUGGGACGCAUUUCCACUGUCCAGGUUUGUUCAAUCGGGAUCAACACAGAUCUAUCAUUCAAAGCGUCCUUUUCACCUCUGCUCUUCAUAAUCUUCAGCAUCGAGGGUUAUACAAUACGUGAGGCGGAUGAUGCUCUGACCUGUCAGUGGGAGGGUGAAACAAUUCAUUCUGGAAUUCUGAUUUUAACUAUUUUCACUUCUGCCUUAACUUCAUGGCAAUCUCGUCAGUGUCAGUUAUUUCAUUCAUUAUUUUAGUUUUUUAAAAGCUUGUUGAAAAAUAUGCUUUGAGGUAUUUUUAGAAUUAGCUAUUCCUAAUUGCCUCUCCAUUACAUGAAAUGAUCAUGU